AACGAACGCUGGCGGCAUGCCUAACACAUGCAAGUCGAACGGAUGCAGCAAUGCAUCAGUGGCAGACGGGUGAGUAACACGUGGGAAUCUACCCAGUAGCCUGGAAUAACCGCGGGAAACUGCGGCUAAUACCGGAUACGCCCCUCGGGGGAAAGGAGCAAUCCACUAUUGGAGGAGCCCGCGUCCGAUUAGCUAGUUGGUGAGGUAACGGCUCACCAAGGCGAUGAUCGGUAGCUGGUUUGAGAGAACGACCAGCCACACUGGGACUGAGACACGGCCCAGACUCCUACGGGAGGCAGCAGUGGGGAGUAUUGGACAAUGGGGGAAACCCUGAUCCAGCAAUGCCGCGUGGGUGAUGAAGGCCUUCGGGUUGUAAAGCCCUUUUGGCGGGGACGAUGAUGACGGUACCCGCAGAGGAAGCCCCGGCUAACUUCGUGCCAGCAGCCGCAGUAA
rnacentral:rRNA from 1 species